UCACGUAUCCACGUAUAAACCACUGCGAACCGUAUUCCCUUUAGAAGGGUUGGGGUCUCCUAACGGAGAGCUUUGGGCCAAUAGUCUUCUCAAUUUCGUGAUGGAGAAGCGGUCUAGAGUUUGUUUCACGACAACCUUGGUCCUUUUGAAGCGGUUAUUCAUCACGAACCGUACAAACUUAUUAACCCCUUUAAACUUUUGAACUGAAUCUUUUAAGUCCAAAUCUUUGGUUCUUCGGAAUCGAAGCUGGCCUUAAAUACUUUACGAAAUAUUCGAA
rnacentral:misc_RNA from 1 species